UAAUUAAAUGGAUUUAAACUGCAUAAGGUGACGUCGUCUCACAUUAAUACUAGUACAUACUACAUUAACAAUUUUAUUUGUUUAUAUGUCGGUUUACUUCAUAUAGUAUGUCUAAAAAUGCGUGGUUGUUAAAACAAUAAUUAUAAUAUUAUUUUUAUUGAUAAAGUUAAUAUUUUCUCUGUUUUAAAUAAAUAAUUAGAUUUAAAAAAUGUAAUAAAUAAAAAGGAAAGAAUAAUAAUUUUAUCAAAUAAUUAUAAUUAAUUAUUGAUGUAAUCAAAUUAAAAUUAAUGCAAAGUGAA
rnacentral:lncRNA from 1 species